rnacentral:rRNA from 1 species
CCCUUAGAUGUUCUGGGCCGCACGCGUGCUACACUGAGUGUAUCAGCGGGUCAGGUUGCGCGAAAGCGUUUCCUAAUCUUUAAAUCCGCUCGUGAUGGGGAUUGACGGUUGCAAUUUUCUGUCAUGAACGAGGAAUACCUUGUAAGCGCGGGUCAUCAUCCCGCGCUGAAUACGUCCCUGCCCUUUGUACACACCGCCCGUCGCUCCUACCGAUUGAGUGGUCCGGUGAGGCUUUGGGAUCUGAGCGGAAAGAGCGUUUCGCUGUUUCUGCUCGGAAAACUCAGUCGAACCUUAUCAUUUAGAGGAAGGAGAAGUCGUAACA